ACUACCCCAGUCCUGUGACAAGAAUUCACUCACUGCUUUCAUGAAGGAGACAGAGUCACAGAUCCUGAGCACACUCUUCGGAUUCAUCUGUGCAGAGGGCAACUCAUGAAGUCCAAGCUGCUCCCAAAGUCAAGAAGCACUGGCCAAAGCCUGCUGGGGCUUGAAAGCUUGACGUGACCGCCUGACAUCAGAAAGUAUAUAGGUUCUCCUCUGGCCCCAGAAAAUGGAGGUGCGAGGCUAAAGGCCUAUUGUUCUGGGCCAUAUGGAAGAAAA
rnacentral:lncRNA from 1 species